UUUUUUUUUUUUUUUUGGCUGUGCACACAGCAGUGACAAUGCCAGAUGCUUAAUCUACUGGAAGGCCCAAUGUCUAUGUUUUAAAUUGUUUCCUACUUAGUAUUUGUCUUUUAAAUUUUAUUAAUUUCUUAGCAAUUACUAUAAAGAAGUUUUAAAUUUUGUAUGUAAUUAAAUAUACCAAUUAUUCCCUUUAUGGUGUAUAACUUUUAUAUCAUGCCUAAAGUCCUUCUUCAAGGUCAUUUUAGAAAUGUAUUGCAGGGAAAUAAGGACAAGUUUGGAAGACGAUAAAAUCACAAUCCACAGAACAAAAACAAAAAUUAAGAAAGUUCCCAUUGUGGUGCAGUGGAAACGAACCUGACUAGUAUUCAUGAGGACUUGGGAUCGAUCCCUGGCCUUACUCAGUGGAUUAAGGAUCUGGUGUUGCCCUGAGCUGUGGUGUAGGUCACAGACAUGGCUCAGAUCUGGUGUUGCUGUGGCUGUGAUGUAGACAUGGCUCAGAUUUGGCACUGCUGUGGCUGUGGCGUAGGCCGGCAGCUGCAGCUCCAAUUCCACCCCUAGCCUGGGAACCUCCAUAUGCCCCAAGUACGGCCCUAAAAAUCAAAACAAACAAACAAACAAACAAACAAACAAACCAGAGUUUGAUCUCACUACACAUAUCAGAAGAGCUAAAAUAAAAGACAGUGACACCACCAAAUGCUGCUGUGGAUGCAGAGAAACUGGAUCACUCCUAUACUGCUAGUGGGAAUGUCAAGUGUUACAGCCACACUGGAAAAGUAGUUUGCAAUUUCUUAAAAACUAAACAUGCCUUUGCCAUAUAAUCCAGCAAUUACACCCUGGGGGCAUUUUAUUCCAGAAAAAAAUGAAAGUACAAAAACCUAUACAUGAAUGUUCAUACUUUAUUUGCAGCAGCCCAACCUGGAAACAAACCAAACGUCCUUCCUUCAAAGGGCAAAUGGAGAAACAAACUGUGAUCCAUUCAUAUCACAGACUGCUCCUCAGCAAUACAAGGGAACACACAUUAGAACGCGCAACAACCUGGAUGGAUCUCAAGAAAACGAUGCUGAGUAAAAGAAAAGCCAAUCCCCAAAAUUGACAUACUGUAUAAUUUUAUUUAACACUUUGAAAUGACAGGUGCACACAGGUCUCACAACGCCAGAGGUGCAACAUACAUGAAAAAACCUUGCUGCAGAGAAAUAAUGCAAAGCUAUACAGGAUUAUAUACUCUGCUUUCCCAAGGGGAAGUGGAUUCUCUUUCUGGAGGGUAACUCAGUCUUAGAGAUAUUUUGCUGAUAAUCUGGCCUUG
rnacentral:lncRNA from 1 species